AUGAUGGAAGAACUAGGACACAACGAAGAUAAUCUGCAAGAUGUGGUCGUUGAGGAGGACGAACUGCCAACGGAAGCGACCAGGUGGAUGGCCAUUGCUAGGGUGCACACGACCAAGUCCUAUAGUCAAUAUUGGUUCUAUAGGAACAUGAAGGUGGCAUGGGAUCUGGCACAAGAAGUGAAGAUCUGCCCAUUUGAAGAAAACAUCUACACGAUGCAGUUCUCAUGCCUUGGGGACUGGGAGCGAGUUAUGCAGGCGGGGUCAUGGUCGUUCAAGGGAAAAGCUAUGGUGAUAGCUCAUUAA
rnacentral:rRNA from 1 species